UACGGGGGGGGCAAGCGUUGUUCGGAAUUACUGGGCGUAAAGGGCUCGUAGGCGGCCAACUAAGUCAGACGUGAAAUCCCUCGGCUUAACCGGGGAACUGCGUCUGAUACUGGAUGGCUCGAGUUUGGGAGAGGGAUGCGGAAUUCCAGGUGUAGCGGUGAAAUGCGUAGAUAUCGGGAAGAACACCCGUGGCGAAGGCGGCUCUCUGGAACGCAACUGACGCUGAGACGCGAAAGCGUGGGGAGCAAACAGG
rnacentral:rRNA from 1 species